rnacentral:rRNA from 1 species
CCUACGCGAGGCAGCAGUGAGGAAUAUUGUUCAAUGGGCGCGAGCCUGACCCAGCAACGUCGCGUGAAGGAUGACUGCCAUACGGUUUGUAAAUUUCUUUUAUAAAGAAAUCCAGUGAGGCACAUGCGCCUUUUUGUCUAUGUUUUAUGCAUCGGGAUCAGCUAACUUCGUGCCAGCAGACGCGGCAAUACGGUGGUUCAUAGCGUUAACAGGUUUUAUUGGGUUUAAAGGGAGCGUAGAGGGGUUGUUAGGUCCGUUGUGAAAGUUUGCGGCUCAACCGUAAAAUUGCAAUUGAUACUGGCAGACUUGAGUAUAGGUGAGGUAGGCGGAAUUCGUGGUGUAGCGGUGAAAUGCGUAGAUAUCACGAAGAACUCCGAUGGCGAAGGCAGCCUACUAAACUGCCACUGACAGUGAGGCGCGAAAGUGUGGGUAUCAAACAGGAUUAGAUACCCUAGUAGUC